rnacentral:rRNA from 1 species
UACGUAGGGAGCAAGCGUUGUCCGGAUUUAUUGGGCGUAAAGCGCACGCAGGCGGUCUGGUCAGUCUUUGCUGACAGUGUCCGGCUCAACCGGGCAAGUGGUAGAGAAACUGCCAGACUUGAGGGCUUCAGAGGGAUGGGGAACUCCAGGUGGAGUGGUGAAAUGCGUAGAUAUCUGGAAGAACACCAAAGGCGAAGGCGGCCCCCUGGGCCGGCCCUGACACUGGAGACGCGAAGGCGUGGGGAGGCGAACGGG